rnacentral:rRNA from 1 species
GGGUGAGUAACGCGUGAGCAACCUGCCCUUCGGAGGGGGAUAGUGUCUGGAAACGGACAGUAAUACCGCAUAAAAUAUAUUUGCCGCAUGACAGAUAUAUCAAAACUGAGGUGCCGAGGGAUGGGCUCGCGUUGGAUUAGAUAGUUGGUGGGGUAACGGCCUACCAAGUCAACGAUCCAUAGCCGGACUGAGAGGUUGGACGGCCACAUUGGGACUGAGACACGGCCCAGACUCCUACGGGAGGCAGCAGUGGGGAAUAUUGCACAAUGGGGGGAACCCUGAUGCAGCAACGCCGCGUGAAGGAAGACGGUUUUCGGAUUGUAAACUUCUGUUCUUAGUGAAGAAGAAUGACGGUAGCUAAGGAGCAAGCCACGGCUAACUACGUGCCAGCAGCCGCGGUAAUACGUAGGUGGCAAGCGUUGUCCGGAAUUACUGGGUGUAAAGGGAGCGCAGGCGGGAAGCCAAGUCAGCUGUGAAAACUACGGGCUUAACUUGUAGACUGCAGUUGAAACUGGUUUUCUUGAGUGAAGUAGAGGUUGGCGGAAUUCCGAGUGUAGCGGUGAAAUGCGUAGAUAUUCGGAGGAGCACCGGUGGCGAAGGCGGCCAACUGGGCUUUAACUGACGCUGAGGCUCGAAAGUGUGGGGAGCAAACAGGAUUAGAUACCCUGGUAGUCCACACUGUAAACGAUGAUAACU